rnacentral:rRNA from 1 species
UACGUAGGGACCAAGCGUUGUUCGGAUUUACUGGGCGUAAAGGGCGCGUAGGCGGCGUGUUAAGUCAGCUGUGAAAUCUCCAAGCUUAACUUGGAACGGUCAGCUGAUACUGAUGUGCUAGAGUGCAGAAGGGGCAAUCGGAAUUCUUGGUGUAGCGGUGAAAUGCGUAGAUAUCAAGAGGAACACCUGAGGUGAAGACGGGUUGCUGGGCUGACACUGACGCUGAGGCGCGAAAGCGAGGGUAGCAAACGGG